rnacentral:sRNA from 1 species
UCUUAAUUUUUUGUUAUCUCCUUCAGGCUGAAAUCACCAGAGGGAAAUGCUGGGUUCUGAUACUCUUGGGAUUUUCUUUUAUACAAUGUCAAGGAUUUUUAAAUAUUUCAAAGGUCAGUGACUGUUUACAGUCCACCUUUGUUCUAUGACCUGCGCUCACUCUGCUUUUGACUUCUAUCUGAUCCUAGUCAUCUGCCUGAGCUCCCGGCAAGAGCUUUACACAGGUUGUUAUCAGGUCUUUGUCUUCUUAUACCAGACAGAAGCAGCGAAAAAAGCGUCAGCUUCUCUUCCUGGUUUCCAAAAAUACUCCUUCUGGAAAGCGCUGAGAAAAUCAAAAUUGACAAAGGAAAACUGCCGCCUGUCUGCCACGCCACUGUUGAUGGUUACUUUUAGGCUCAAAGUGGCCUCAUUAUUUCCCAGGCCUGCAAUGAUCUCAGAACUAAGCAGCCAGAACGGCUCCUCCCUCUCUUUCUAACCUGCUUUAACUUGAUCAUUCGCCUUGUUUAGGAAAAGGAGGUGCAAACAGUCAGCUUAAAUCUGCAGGAUCCUGAUGUUAUUUUACUAAGCUUGAAUAAAACAACUUCUAAAAUAUCCAAAUGUCUAACAUACCCUCAAAGUACAACAGGACAGUAUGAUCUCCAUCCUCACAUCUAAAGAUAGACGAGUUUCGAGUGCAUUAUGCUGCAAUAAAGAGGCAGGACACAAAAGAGUGCUGCUCUGGCUAUAUUUGCAUGAAGUCCUAGAAAACAUAGAACUGAACCACUGCGAAGAAAACCUGAGAAGCGUUUGCCUCCAAAAAUGGAAGAAAGAGUGGAGAGGGAAUUUCUGAGCUGCGUUUGAGAUGCAAACUGGGCAUCAUCCUCACCCUCGAGUACCUCUGAGUGUUCAGACUUACGCUGGAGUCCUCAUUGUGGAAUGGUGACACUAGGUAAUGACUUCAAGAGGCACAUCUUUGAAGAAGAAAAUAUUGUAGGCAAAUUUCGUGGAUGCUUGCCGAGUAGCAGCAUCCAAACCACUGUCCUGACGGCAAGGAAGAGCAACCUUCCUCCUCAGCUAGAAGAAUGUGUGAGGUGAAUUUCUUCCUCCAUCAAAACAAGUCAAGACCAGAAGAGACAGAAAAAUAGGUUCCAGGUGAGAAUUCUCUCAGGGAGUUUUUUAUGACACAAAAGAAGGCAAAACACAUUCAUUUCCUUUCCUCCCAGCUGUUCUAAUGGCACAAGGGCUGCUGUCCUGCUCACACGCAUCUGCUUGCUGACUGGCAUCUGCAGCCGAUUGCCUCCAGGUGUUAGAUGAAAGAAGAUGCUGAAAGUCAAUGCGGGCUGGAAGCCUUGCUUCCAGGAACAGGUGCUGGUUUGUGGAAACCUGCAG